AUUGAACGCUGGCGGAAUGCUUUACACAUGCAAGUCGAACGGCAGCACGGACUUCGGUCUGGUGGCGAGUGGCGAACGGGUGAGUAAUGUAUCGGAACGUGCCCAGUCGUGGGGGAUAACGUAGUGAAAAUUACGCUAAUACCGCAUACGAUCUAUGGAUGAAAGCGGGGGAUCGCAAGACCUCGCGCGAUUGGAGCGGCCGAUAUCAGAUUAGGUAGUUGGUGGGGUAAAGGCCCACCAAGCCAACGAUCUGUAGCUGGUCUGAGAGGACGACCAGCCACACUGGAACUGAGACACGGUCCAGACUCCUACGGGAGGCAGCAGUGGGGAAUUGUGGACAAUGGGCGAAAGCCUUAUCCAGCCAUUCCGCGUGCAGGAUGAAGGCCCUCGGGUUGUAAACUGCUUUUGUACAGAACGAAAAGGUUUCUACUAAUACUAGGAGCUCAUGACGGUACUGUAAGAAUAAGCACCGGCUAACUACGUGCCAGCCGCGGUAACAC
rnacentral:rRNA from 1 species